AUAAUACCGUACAGAAAUCAAUAACAAAUAAUUAAAAUAAACAGAAAAGGGUCGAGACGAGUGUUCCUUUAGUUCCAUCCUGUUGCUGGUAGCCACCUAGUGACGAGAAAAAGCAACAAGUCAUCACAUCGACAAGAGAACACGCCCCCAAUCAACAAUAAUAAAACAAAAACAACAAUAAUUUGACCUCUAAAAACCCCAACAGAUGCGGGUUUGCAAAACUGGCGAAAGAGCUCAAUCAUCAUAUUAGAUAUAGAUCGACAAGUCUCGACAGCCUUCUUGAAAUCAAAACCGAAAUGGAAUUUACUAUAUUCAAACCAUUCAUGAUAUCAAACGAUCUAGAACAAGCUACACGGCUCGAUAAAAAUAAAAUCAUAAUAAUUAAUCAACCUCAAGACAAUUCGGAGCAGAUUAAUACUUCUGUAAGAGAUAAUUACCAAAGAAUUUAAAAUAACAACCAUAAGAUUCAACGUCUUGAAAGUGAUAUGUAGUACGGCUGUUGAUCAACUUAAAUUUCAUCAUGUAAAUCAGAACUAAAAUCAACUCAGAUAACAAAUUCAUUAAAUAUAAUGGUGAUAGUGUAAAAUUUGAGCCUGACACAACAUAAUUUCACCGACAUCAUUUGUAUAUAAAAUGUGGUUUAUAUUAAACAGUUACGCAAAAAUAGUUCUGAUAUUUUUUUUUUAAUAGAUCAUUGAUAAAUUAUUAAAUCGUGUUCUAAAUAGCAGCUGGUGUUUUAUAUAUAUAUGACACACGCACAUACGCAGCUCUUUUAGUUAAAGUCAUGAGGCAGAAAGAGUAUAUUAAUUAGAAACACUAACAUAUUUAAUGUGGGUGUAGCGAAGUUGAAUCACCCACUUGUGAAGGAGUGUUUUUCUUAAGAAUUUCUAUAGAACAAAUUAUUCUUCAACAGCACAAAAAUCUAUAGAAUCCAAUGAAAAGUUGUGAAACGAAAACAGUAAAUAAUGAUAUUUAUGUAAAAGUCGCCGAACGAUGCCAGAGUAAGAAGACAACGAAAAGGUAAACCGUCAAAAGAAUAUAUAAAUAUGUGUGUAUAUAUAUAAGAGAAAAACAUCACGCCAUAAAGCAUGAGUAAUAGAUAAGGUAGCAGUGCUAGGAGAUUUAACGUGCGUGGUGGCAUAUAGGGGGGCGUAUCUCAUACACAAUCCUCAUUAAGCUAUUAAUAAUUAAUAUUCGAUUUAAAUAGAUCUCUCAUUGAAGCAGUUUUUAUUUAAACAUCACAUUGCAAUAAAAAUAUGCAGAAAUAAAAGACGUGUGCGAUGAAUGUCAAAUAAAAAUCGUUUACCGAGACUUACAAAGUGGUCGAGAAAAGAGGGUCCUACUUAAAUUAGGCAAUAAACAGCUGGCUAAUCCCUCACUUAUAGACCAUCUAGCAUCAUAUUAGGAUAAUUUGUUCAACAUCACUUGAUCACAACAAAAUUAAAACCUAAUAACCUUACACUACUGGUGUGAUUAUUUAACCAUGCUACAAGUUGCAGUAUACUACGAAGUAAUUUCUUAGGAAAAUAUGAUUUCACGGCUGAGAUCAGAAACAUCGCCUCAGGGUCCCAGCAGACAAAAAGGAAAAGACGUUGCCCGGAGGAUGGCGAGGGAGAUUCACUGCAACAGCCACUCUGACUCACGGGACUCGCACUUUUAUCGUUCAAAUAUGAAAUGGAGAAAAGAUGGUGAAAAACAGAAUUCAUAGAGUCAAAUAAAAUGACCUGAUGAAACAAGUAUCAGCAACAUACUGAAAUUCGAUUCACCAGAGUAUGCUCCUCCUCUGUUAGAUGCGUCGCUGUAAGAAACCAGCAUUACUUACUUGAGAUGAGGGAUCUUUUCGGUUUGAACGGCAGUUUUUAACAUAAUUUCUAGAAAAAUGUGAUCUAAGGAAGAUUUAACCGCUAUUUCUUGCAAGAGAGAUUAUGUUAAAGCCCUCGUUGAAUUCUGAAUCUUAAGUUUUAGGAGCAUGAGAAAAAGUUCAACAACCUGGAGAUCCUUUAGUGAAUAAAUUGUAAACAUGUCAAUGACUUUUAAUUCAAUUUCGUGCUUGCCACUGAUUGUUUUUACACCAGCCGUCAUUAAUGUAUGUAACUCUUUACUGAUGGACCAGCAAGGAAACAAAUACAGUUGAAUGGCGAAAGAAUGAUUUCGAGAACUUUAAAAUUGUUAAUUCGAUUAUGAAAUCAAAAUGAAACAAAACGAAUUGUUUUGAGUAAAUAAAGAGGCAAUGAAUAAUAACAGAGGUCAGCUUAGGUUUUCUUUCUACUGCGGGUGUCGAUAAAAUAAAGUAUCUGUUAAAUAAUGUGUCAAUUAAAUUGAUCAUACAUCAAUAUAAACAAAUGACGGUUUUGAAUAAUUGUUAGAAAUCAGCACGCACACUAUUCUGUUUGUCAUUCGGUUCAUAAGUUCGAGUGUUACGUUUUAAACAAGCUUAACUAUGAAACUAAAUUAAAACACAAAGCAGCACGUUCAAGCGUUGCUAUUUUAACAAUGGACUGAAAUCAAGGACGUAAUCGUAAUUUUUAACAUAAUGAAACAAUGCUAUUAAGAUCUAUAAGUAUAUGCAUUAAAAAAGAAAUAAGAAAAAGUUUAAAACGUUGAACUUCCAUCUGUCCCACGUGUUAAUUAUUAUUAGACAAUGAAUUAGAAUUGUUAGAGUAUCUGAUAAAAAAGCUUCGCUGUUUUUAGAUACGGUCUUUUUCCGUUUUGGGUUUUAAUUCCACCGAGGUCAAUGUGUCUUUCAUCUUUGCGGUUCGAGAAAAAGAAAAUACCAGUUAAGUCUGAAAUACGGUGAACCAGAGAAGCUUUAACCAGUGACGUUAUUGUCUACAAACUGCGAUAUAAACUAAGUGUUAGGAUAAAUAUAAUCGACUAUAUUCUCCAACUUCUCCAAAAUCAAUUAUGUCCUUGUGUUAUUGCGAGAAAUCAUUAUUUGCUGACUGAAAUGUCUUGGAUUAUAAGCGAAAGGCAAAUUGAAAGCAACUGAGUGAGAGACAGUGGCAGACAGUGGAUGCUUGGAUCUGAGGGAGGCCUGCGUUGUCCAACGUCGGAAAAUCGAUUAUUGUGGUCACAAGUGCAGAUGGUCGUAAGUCGAGGAGUGGGUAUAUUAAUCUGCUUCUCUAUGAGUAACACUGUCGUUUAUACACUUGAAGUUUGAAAAACAGGUGAAGAACAAUCAAAUUAAGAAAAUGCACGUCUUAAAAAUUGAUCCUUACAAACACACAACUGACAAAAUGCACACUCACACACAUAUAUAUGUAUAUGUACGCACACACACUCCCACACACACACAUUUUUACGUACAUACACAUAACAUUGUUCGGCGUGGCAUGGCACAGAAUCAGUGCGUUGAACAAAAGUAUUUUAUAUUUAGUUCACUGUUACCUUAACGCUCAGUCGUCGCUGCAUUUUUAUCUCGAUAAGAAGGAAAAACGUUCUCUGAUCGAUAUAACCUUGCAGCCGUCCAAUAACUGGAAGCAAUAUAAGAAUAAAAGAAAUUUAAAUCUGAAACCAUUAUAAUCUUCAUAUCUGAGAUAUGGAAUCUGCGCAUGGCUCAGUGGUUAGAGCAUCGGGUUCACAAUCAUGAGAUAGUGAGUUCCAUUCCUGGACCGAACUGUGUGUUGUGUUCUUGAGCAAGACACUUUAUUUUACAUCACUCCAGUUCAU